CAUUUCCCAAACUUUCCUCGGAGUCCAAACUGCUACAGAGUGGCAUUCACCCCCUCCUAUCCCGGCACGCGAUUUCUUUCCUUUCCUCUCUUCUCGGCCAAUCAAAGCGUUCUAAAUUGUAGAAGUCCCGCCCUCUUGUUUGACGCGGGCUUCCGGUGGUAAUUGGCGCUCCUGCCUGGUUUUUGGUUUAUGUUCUUCAGUUUGAGGAGGGAAGGAGAAGAAGUUGUUACGGAGGUGAUUGAAGAGGAUUAGAAGGAGAAACCUCGAGUCAGAGAAGACGCAGAUCUUUCUCCUGCACUUAUCAACAUGUGCUGAGCUGCUGGAACAUGGCUGACGGGCUCUACCGGCUGGACGAUGAAGCCUUCCCCGGGUUCCUCGCCCAGUCUCUGGACGGCUCCGGCGGCCGGCCCACCCUGGGGAACGUGAGCCUGGGCUCGGGGCCGGGUCUGCCCGUGGCCGCCUCCACGGUGGCUAAAGUUAGAGCGGGCUGCGGCAACAGAGGAGAAGAGGAGCUCUCGUUCCUGGAGGGCAGAGAGCUGCAGGAACGAGAAGGCUCACAUUCAUGCAUGGAAGAUCAGCCCAGGUUCACCCUGAGCUUCAAAGAUGAUCUGUGAGUAGCAAUCCUCCUCCUUUUUAGGAUUAUGAACAAUCGGAAUGAUGACAGCAACACUCAAUCAUUCUAAUGGUGUUUUCUAAAAUGUCAA
rnacentral:lncRNA from 1 species